UACGAAGGGGGCUAGCGUUGCUCGGAAUCACUGGGCGUAAAGGGUGCGUAGGCGGGUCUUUAAGUCAGGGGUGAAAUCCUGGAGCUCAACUCCAGAACUGCCUUUGAUACUGAAGAUCUUGAGUUCGGGAGAGGUGAGUGGAACUGCGAGUGUAGAGGUGAAAUUCGUAGAUAUUCGCAAGAACACCAGUGGCGAAGGCGGCUCACUGGCCCGAUACUGACGCUGAGGUGCGAAAGCGUGGGGAGCAAACAGGGAUUAAGAAACCCGUGG
rnacentral:rRNA from 1 species